rnacentral:rRNA from 1 species
AUUGAACGCUGGCGGCAGGCCUAACACAUGCAAGUCGAGCGGAUGAAGGGAGCUUGCUCCUGGAUUCAGCGGCGGACGGGUGUGUAAUGCCUAGGAAUCUGCCUGGUAGUGGGGGAUAACGUCCGGAAACGGGCGCUAAUACCGCAUACGUCCUGAGGGAGAAAGUGGGGGAUCUUCGGACCUCACGCUAUCAGAUGAGCCUAGGUCGGAUUAGCUAGUUGGUGGGGUAAAGGCCUACCAAGGCGACGAUCCGUAACUGGUCUGAGAGGAUGAUCAGUCACACUGGAACUGAGACACGGUCCAGACUCCUACGGGAGGCAGCAGUGGGGAAUAUUGGACAAUGGGCGAAAGCCUGAUCCAGCCAUGCCGCGUGUGUGAAGAAGGUCUUCGGAUUGUAAAGCACUUUAAGUUGGGAGGAAGGGCAGUAAGUUAAUACCUUGCUGUUUUGACGGUACCAACAGAAUAAGCACCGGCUAACUUCGUG